UAGGCUGGGGUGGAAUGUCUUGAAGGAGUGGAGGUGGGAUGGGUAGGCUGGGGUGGAGUGUCUUGAAGGAGUGGAGGUGGGAUGGUUAGGCUGGGGUGGAGUGUCUUGAAGGAGUGGAGGUGGGAUGGUAGGCUGGGGUGGAAUGUCUUGAAGGAGUGGAGGUGGGAUGGGUAGGCUGGGGUGGAGUGUCUUGAAGGAGUGGAGGUGGGAUGGGUAGGCUGGGGUGGAGUGUCUUGAAGGAGUGGAGGUGGGAUGGGUAGGCUGGGGUG